rnacentral:misc_RNA from 1 species
UACGGAGGGUGCGAGCGUUGUCCGGAAUCACUGGGCGUAAAGGGCGCGUAGGUGGUCGGGUAAGCGUGUGGUGAAAGCUCGGGGCUCAACCUCGAGUCGGCCAUGCGAACUGCUCGACUUGAGCACUGUAGAGGCAGACGGAAUUCCGGGUGUAGCGGUGGAAUGCGUAGAGAUCCGGAAGAACACCGGUGGCGAAGGCGGUCUGCUGGGCAGUUGCUGACACUGAGGCGCGACAGCGUGGGGAGCAAACAGG